rnacentral:rRNA from 1 species
UCGAGAAUCUUCCGCAAUGGGCGAAAGCCUGACGGAGCGAUGUCGCGUGAGGGAUGAAGGCCUUCGGGUUGUAAACCUCUGUCGCCCGGGACGAAAUAAAUGACGGUACCGGGAGAGGAAGCUACGGCUAACUACGUGCCAGCAGCCGCGGUAAUACGUAGGUAGCGAGCGUUAUUCGGAUUUACUGGGCGUAAAGGGUCUGCAGGGGGUCUGCCAAGUCUGGCGUGAAAUUCCAAGGCUCAACCUUGGAACUGCGUUGGAUACUGGCGGACUAGAGUGCAUGAGGGGAGAACAGAAUACCUGGUGUAGCGGUGGAAUGCGCAGAUAUCAGGUGGAACACCGACGGCGAAGGCGGUUCUCUGGCGUGCAACUGACCCUGAGGGACGAAAGCGUGGGGAGCAAACAGG